UUAAAUUGAAGAGUUUGAUCAUGGCUCAGAUUGAACGCUGGCGGCAGGCCUAACACAUGCAAGUCGAACGGUAACAGGAAGCAGCUUGCUGCUUCGCUGACGAGUGGCGGACGGGGGAGUAAUGUCUGGGAAACUGCCUGAUGGAGGGGGAUAACUACUGGAAACGGUAGCUAAUACCGCAUAACGUCGCAAGACCAAAGAGGGGGACCUUCGGGCCUCUUGCCAUCGGAUGUGCCCAGAUGGGAUUAGCUUGUUGGUGGGGUAACGGCUCACCAAGGCGACGAUCCCUAGCUGGUCUGAGAGGAUGACCAGCCACACUGGAACUGAGACACGGUCCAGACUCCUACGGGAGGCAGCAGUGGGGAAUAUUGCACAAUGGGCGCAAGCCUGAUGCAGCCAUGCCGCGUGUAUGAAGAAGGCCUUCGGGUUGUAAAGUACUUUCAGCGGGGAGGAAGGGAGUAAAGUUAAUACCUUUGCUCAUUGACGUUACCCGCAGAAGAAGCACCGGCUAACUCCGUGCCAGCAGCCGCGGUAAUACGGAGGGUGCAAGCGUUAAUCGGAAUUACUGGGCGUAAAGCGCACGCAGGCGGUUUGUUAAGUC
rnacentral:rRNA from 1 species